UCGGGAAUUUUGGGCAAUGGGCGAAAGCCUGACCCAGCAACGCCGCGUGGAUGAUGAAGGCCUUAGGGUUGUAAAAUCCUUUCGCCGAGGACGAUAAUGGCGGUACUCGGAGAAGAAGCUCCGGCUAACUUCGUGCCAGCAGCCGCGGUAAUACGAAGGGGGCUAGCGUUGUUCGGAUUUACUGGGCGUAAAGCGCGUGUAGGCGGGUCGUUAAGUUGGGGGUGAAAUCCCGAGGCUCAACCUCGGAACUGCCUUCAAAACUGGCGACCUGGACCUAAGUAGAGGCAAGUGGAAUUGCGAGUGUAGAGGUGAAAUUCGUAGAUAUUCGCAGGAACACCAGUGGCGAAGGCGACUUGCUGGACUUAUGGUGACGCUGAGACGCGAAAGCGUGGGGAGCAAACAGGAUUAGAUACCCCCGUAGUCCCUGAGCGGGCUGGCAAGGCGCAU
rnacentral:rRNA from 1 species